UACGUAGGGGGCAAGCGUUGUCCGGAUUCAUUGGGCGUAAAGAGCGUGUAGGCGGCCAGGUAGGUCUGCUGUGAAAACUCGGGGCUCAACUCCGAGCCUGCGUUCGAUACUGGAUGGCUAGAGUCUGGUAGGGGGAUCUGGAAUUCCUGGUGUAGCGGUGGAAUGCGCAGAUAUCAGGAGGAACACCGGUGGCGAAGGCGGGAUCCUGGGCCAGUACUGACGCUGAGAAGCGAAAAGCAUGGGGGAGCGAACAGG
rnacentral:rRNA from 1 species